GUCUUCCAGUUGGGCUCACUAGUGGGGAAUUCCAGCAGGAGAGAAGAAGGAGAGAGCAGAGUGAAACUGGGGUGUAUAUUCCCCUGCCUCCUUUCCCACAGGCUCUUUCCAGGCUGACUUUGACUCUCUGAUGAAAGCCACAGAAGGUGGCUUCUCUGCACAACUCUCCCCUUCCAGAUUCUGGUUAUAACUGCCUUUCCUUUUCCCUUCAGGAGCAAGUGGGGGUAACAACUCUGCAGUCACUAUCUGAAAAUGCCCUGCUGUUGUUUUUGUUUUUUCUACCCAAUGCCCUGGUCUUAGUGAAUAGUAUCUUUCUCAAACCAUCCUGGAAUUAUCCUAGUUUGAGUGAACCUUUAUUUUUUCUUUUGCUGGAGCCUGAUCUUGUCAGAUACUUGGGUGGAAAUAUGUCAGAUACUUAAUGGAAAUGUAUAAUUCUAUUUCGAAGAACCUGCUUUUGGAUUUAUUUAGCCUUUUAAUCAUUUUUGUUUCUAUUUCAUUAAGUUCAGGUCUUACAUUAAUUAAUUUCCCUCUUCCAAAUUUCUUUUGGCUUAUUUUGUUGCUCAUUUUCAAAUUCAUUAAGGGCUGCAAAUGAGAAGUCUUCCUUAUGUUCACUUGGCUGAGAAACUGUGGGAAGAUAGAGAGCAAAGAGACUUCUUCCAGGAACUGCUGAAGGGUGCAUACAUCCUGCCUGUAGUCCAUAGGCUAUUGGAUCAGAACAUUACAGCAGGAUUCCCACCAGUCCCACCAAUAUUUUGACAGCUGACCUGAGCUCCAGUGCUGGCAGGGAAAAAUAACUGCCCAUCCUUGGAGCCUCACAGCCUAAAAGAAAAGGAUGAGCCCAACAAUUUGAAGACACACUGUGAGAUAGAACUGCUGCAUAAGACAGAUGAUCACCUGAAUAAAAAUUCAUCGUGAAUGCUUAAGGAGAUUCAAACACAAUACCAACAAUACAAAAAAAGACUUUCUUGAGAUUAAAAUUAUUAUUUUCAAACUAAGACAAAUCAGUAGAUAAUAAAUAAAGGGGAGUUUGACCACUGGAUGACCAGAUCAGUAGCCAGAAAUAUCUUAAAGCACAAGAAUGGAAGAAGUAGAAGUCCUGUGGGAAAAGGUGAAAGAGUCACAGAAGAUCUAGCAAGCAAAUACUGGAAGAAAAAAAUGGAAGAGACACAUGAAAAAGUAAUAUCCCAGGGCUGAAAGAAGAUCUGAAUCUACACGCUGAGAUCCAAUCAGUCUUCAUGAAAAAGAUGCACAUCUAGGCAUAUCCUGAUGGAUAAGAAAAAUAUCUUAAAUGCUCCUAGAUAGGAAGAGCAAGUUUACCCAUCAAUGGACAUUUCACUUUCAACCUGUGAAUAGAAAGUUAAAGUGCCGUCAAUGCUGAGAACAAACAGGGUCCCAUCCCAGAUAAUCCUUAAAGUUGUUCCUCCCGUGGUGGUUAGACAAUAUAUUCAACAGAAGGACACCCACUCUGCAGCACAACUGUCCUGUUUCCUCAACAAGUCAGUGUCCCGAGGAAAAGGGCCUGUGCUAGAGGAAGACACUUAAAGGGGCGUAACUACCAGAUGCAAAAUGUGGCUGUGACUCAAAUGCUGUUUUGUACAAACCAGCAGCAAAGGUCAUUCUGGAAUCAACUGCAGAAAUUUAAAUAAGGUUUGGGUAUCUCAUGAGAUGAAAAUUUACUGAAAUAGUAAAAUGGAGAUGGCUCAUUGGAAAAAGCAGGCUACGAAACAACAAAUCACACAAAUACACACACAUAUACACUAUUUAAAAUAAGUAUGUAUACACACACAUAACAAAAAAUAGGUAUACAUACACAUAAAAGAUAAAUAUAUGAAAAACUGUAUAUAUAUAACAUAUAUAUAAUCUGCAAGAACAUGCCUUAGAGUUUAAAAUGGUGAUGCAUUGUGUCAAUAUGAUAUUUUUCAUUUUAUUUUCUAAUUUUCAAUAAUUAAAAAUACGGCCACCAUAAAAUGUAUACCUAUUUAUGUGUGUGUGUGUGUAUAUAUACAUGAAAAUUUCCUUCUCCUUCUUCUUCCGUAUAUAUAGAAAAAGGGAAGGAAGAAGAGGAGGAAGAUGAGCAGUGAUAGAAGGGGUGAGGAUGGGAGGAGGAGAGGAGGGGAGAAAAAGGAGGAGUAGGAAGGGCAAUCCUGAAAGGAACUUCCAAGAGGAAGCAGGGUGGAGCUUCAAGAACGAAGGACGACAAUGCUGCAGCAUCGUUGUGGUGUGUCUGGCACAGCACAGGUUCAGAUGCAGAAUGUGGGAGAGUCUUGCCUGUUGUGAAUUAUCGCAAAAUACCACGGGAGGAAAAUGUCACCCUAAACCAGUUGUGUUUAGCUUCCACACAUCAAAAUAUGGCAUAACAGGUUUCAGAAAGAACUAGGUUCAAUUCUGAAAAAGAAUACCAAAACCUGGAUUAGUUAUGGAUGGCUCCAAAUUAUAGUGCCUGUUUAUGCACAUGCUAGUGAAAUAACGAGUUUUAUGACAGCUGCCUCUCUUAUAAAAAUAUUAAAAUUACAAAAACAGGACUUUGUUUUGUGAUAUCCACGUUCUCAGUAGUUUUAAAUGUCGUUAAUUUAGAUUUCACAAUUUUGAACUAUGUAAAAGUGUAAUCUGGCAAAAAAUAUUUACGUAAAAUUGUUCAUGAAAAAGAGACUUCUGGACAAAUUCAUCUUGAAAAUAAAAUUGCAUGAAGCAUGUUUACUUCUCAUAAAUUGCAUACUCUUUUACUAAAGAACUUAUAGUAUUCUGUAUAAAUUGAAGAUGCUGAAUUCAAUUACACCUUAGUUUAUGUCAUCAGCAGCUCAUCAAGCUCUUUGGUGUUUUUUUCCUGACUUUUCCUGACUGAGCCAAGGUGACAAAAUAGGUUUAGUUCUGCAACUAAUCCUCCC
ensembl:lncRNA